AUUGCAUUCCCCCUGUUGGCUUUUUGUAUGCUCUUAUGCUCUUUACCCUGAUGUUUCACUCAGGGUGUCUCCCCGCCUGCCGCCCAAUGACUGAUGGGAUGGGCUCAAGCAUCCCGCGGCCCGGAUUCGGAUAAGCAGCUUGGAUAAUGGAUGGAUGGAUGGAUGGACGACACGGCUGAGACCUGACCAAGCUGGAGGUAACAUGGGGAUUCGAACCGGCAAGCCCCGUGUUGGCAGGCAAUGGAAUAGACUGCCAUGCCAACCAGACGCCCUAUCUGUACCUCUUUCUACAUGAAAACAACAGAGCGGGACUUAGUGGACUGGUUUUCAUAACUGAUUUAAAUCAGCCUGCCAUUAAGUUUGGAUAAGAUGUACAUCAGAUGUAUCAAAUUAACGUAAAAAGUAUCAAUUUAUCAUACGGGCAACAAUAUCCAAUUUAUAGAAUGAUACUAGGUCAUGGAAACUGAAGUCUGAUGAUUGUUUUAUGGUUGAAACUACAUAACUACAGUAUUAUCUUUAAAAGAGUGUUAUGGGCUCAGUAUAAAUCAUUAUGACAAUCCCAGUUUCCUCAG